UACGUAGGGUGCAAGCGUUGUCCGAAAUUAUUGGGCGUAAAGAGCUCGUAGGCGGUUUGUCGCGUCUGCUGUGAAAACCCGAGGCUCAACCUCGGGCCUGCAGUGGGUACGGGCAGACUAGAGUGCGGUAGGGGAGAUUGGAAUUCCGCGUGUAGUGGUGAAAUGCGUAGAGAUGCGGAGGAACACCAGUGGCGAAAGCGACUUUCUGGUCCUUAACUGACGCUGAGGCGCGAAAGCAUGGGGAGCGAACGGG
rnacentral:rRNA from 1 species